rnacentral:rRNA from 1 species
GACGAACCGCCCGAACGUUGUUCGGAAUUACUGGGCGUAAAGCGUGCGUAGGUGGUUCGUUAAGUCCGUUGUGAAAGCCCCGAGCUCAACUUGGGAAUUGCAGUGGAUACUGGCAGGCUGGAGUACGGUAGAGGAAGGUGGAAUUCCCGGUGUAGCAGUGAAAUGCGUAGAUAUCGGGAGGAACACCAGUGGCGAAGGCGGCCUUCUGGACCAGUACUGACGCUCAUGCACGAAAGCGUGGGGAGCAAACAGG